rnacentral:sRNA from 1 species
UCGCUGGAUUCGGAGGUGACCAUAAAGCCAGUCUCUGAUGCCUACACACAGACUAUACAGUGUGAUGGAAUACAGGCAAAACUUGAAUGAUUAUGAAAUAGGAUUCUAUCCACUGGCUGGCAUGCUGGAAAGCUUUAUGGUCCUCUUGGCACGUGCUACAGUGGGGACUCACAACAGCUCUAUGACAUCAUUGGAAGAGUGAAGUAAAGUACUGGAUGUUUAACUGUAAAGGAGCUUCUUCAAAUGGGAGAAAAGAUGGGAGAUACAUGCCAACAGUGAGUCCAUGCAGAAGUGGCAUCAUAACUGGUGACUAGAAGUGGAAUAAGAGAUUCUUCCUGCAUCACGACUGCUAUAGCACACAGUCAGAAGGAGCAAGUGACUCACUCACACAGCUGCUUGGAGCUACAAUGCCACACAGCCUUUGUCGACCAGCUAUUCCCUGUGAAAGAAGCCUAGUCAGUUUGACCUCUCUUCUGCAUCUUCUAAACUCUUGGCCAAGAUCUUCUGGAAGAUGCUUUCUCACAUCUGAUUUCCUACAAAGUGCCUGCCACAAUCUCGCCCAUCUCUCGCCAACUGGUAUACUGUCUCUGCUUUCCAAAAUUCUAGAUACUCAACAUCAACUCCUACAGAAGACAAAGAAUUAAUAAGAAGUAUGUCCAGAAGACACUAGCCCCACUCUUCCAACCCCAUCACUGUGCUCAGUAGAUUCCCUGGUUUAUAAUCCAACUGGAAGAACUGAGGCAGGCACUCCUGUAUGCUGGCUCCCCAUAUAUGACCAACCACUCACAUAUAAGGUCGGAUGCUCUCCUUUCUCUCUGUCAUCAAGCCACUGAAUUCAUCAGGAAGGAGUCCUCUAUCAGCUCAAGUGCUUUGAGCUCAUGUGCUCUGGGCUCCCCACUAUUUAGUGGGCAGCUCCAGCAGGCAUUGAAAUAGGCUCUUAUCUCAACUUGAACCCGAAACCUGUGACUCUACUUUAUUCUCCAAAUACAGAAGCCCAAAAACCAAGAAGUAGGAAGGUAAUGUCAGUGAUGUCAGUGGUACAGCACUGCGCAUGGUGUAUGGAUGCAUCCCUCUGCGUUGUAAAGAAGAAAAGUCUUCACUCAGAAGUGGGCACCUGCACUGAAAAUUCAUGGAGUUAGAAUACAGGGAUGCGCCUGAUCCAUUCAAUGGUGCAAGAGGUUAUGAUGAGUUCCCGGUACCAUGAAAGAUGUCUCACAAUUGCCUGUAAUUCCAACUCCAGGAGAUCGGAUGCCCUCAUCUGACCUCUUCAGUCAAUUCUACAUAUAUGAUCACACACAGAGAGACAUGCAUGCUGUCACAUAAAUAAAGACAAAUCUGAAAGACAAGA